CAACUCUAAAUGUUACUUCCUACAAUACAUUGCUUCUACAUUAGUUUACUUUUUUUAUUAUUUUACUAAUAUCUUACUCAAAAGCCAUGGACAGAGGUUUGCAUACUGGACUAAUGAGGCCAGAGCAUUGCUCCAAGGUUCACUGCAGCCGAUAUACAGGGUCCCAAAGGUCAGCAAGAGGGAACAUGAGGUUUCGAUUAGAAAAGGAUGACAGGUGCAUCAUAUUGGAGUUACCAACGUGUGUGCUUUCUGAAAUCCUAAAUGAAGUGGUACUACAGGAAGGAGAUAAGGCAUACUUAAGAUUGGCUCUUGUGUGUACCACCUUCAGGGACACUGUGUCCACUGACUCCUUCAGGAGACGGGCACAUUUUCAGUGGCUUGACAGUGUCGCUACAUGGAGCAGGUUUUCUGAGUCCUAAAGAAAAUAAUUCUACACCAUGUACACCGUGGACACCUGUCGUGAAUGUGGAAUGCUUUUCAAAAACUGCACACCUGGAUAUGUUGGAACAGGUCAAAGGUGUGUACUUGAAGCAGUUUACUCAGAAGACCCACAUCCAGGUUACUGCGAUCACUUUUGCCGCCAAAUGCAAUAGUGAGAACGGACACGUAUACUAACUGUUGGCAGACAACACUGAGCCAGCUGGGAGUUUUUCAAGCUGCAGGCCCCCGUGACAAUUUGUGGCUGGAAACUUGGGAUUUAAUUUUGAAUUCUCCAGUGUUAUUACAGACUGUUAAUUAAUUGUUUAUGACAAAAAAGAGAUGUCAUAUGUUUAAACAACCU